rnacentral:rRNA from 1 species
UAGUCCACGCUGUAAACGAUGAUUACUCGAUGUAUGCUCACUAGAGUAUGUGUCCAAGCGAAAGCGUUAAGUAAUCCACCUGGGGAGUACGGUCGCAAGAUUGAAACUCAAAGGAAUUGACGGGGGCCCGCACAAGCGGAGGAGCAUGUGGUUUAAUUCGAUGAUACGCGAGGAACCUUACCUGGGCUUAAAUGGCAGAUGACCGAUCGGGGAAACCGAUCUUUCCUUCGGGACAACUGUCAAGGUGCUGCAUGGUUGUCGUCAGCUCGUGCCGUGAGGUGUCGGGUUAAGUCCCAUAACGAGCGCAACCCCUAUUCUUAGUUGCCAUCAGGUAAAGCUGGGGGACUCUAAGGAAACUGCCGGCGCAAGCCGUGAGGAAGGUGGGGAUGACGUCAAAUCAGCACGGCCCUUAUGUCCAGGGCUACACACGUGCUACAAUGGUUGGUACAAAGGGCAGCUACUUGGCAACAAGAUGCUAAUCUCUAAAACCAAUCUCAGUUCGGAUUG